rnacentral:rRNA from 1 species
CAGUAGCCGCGGGAACACGGAGGGUGCAAGCGUUAAUCGGAAUUACUGGGCGUAAAGCGUGCGUAGGCGGUUCGUUAAGUCUGUUGUGAAAGCCCCGGGCUCAACCUGGGAAUGGCAAUGGAUACUGGCGAGCUAGAGUGUGUCAGAGGAUGGUGGAAUUCCCGGUGUAGCGGUGUAAUGCGUAGAGAUCGGGAGGAACAUCAGUGGCGAAGGCGGCCAUCUGGGACAACACUGACGCUGAGGCACGAAAGCGUGGGGAGCAAACAGGAUUAGAUACCCCCGUAGUCCCUGUCUCUUAUAC